GAUUAACGCUGGCGGCGUGCCUAACACAUGCAAGUCGAACGAGGUAGCAAUACCUAGUGGCAGACGGGUGAGUAACGCGUGGUCAACCUACCGUUGAGUGGGGAUAACUAGCCGAAGGUUAGCUAAUACCGCAUACGUCUCCGAGGGGCGAUCCCUUGGCGAUAAAAGGAAGCAAUCCGCUCGAUGACGGGACCGCGUCCCAUUAGCUAGAUGGUGGGGUAACGGCCUACCAUGGCACCGAUGGGUAGCUGGUUUGAGAGAGCGACCAGCCACACUGGGAC
rnacentral:rRNA from 1 species